rnacentral:rRNA from 1 species
CCCUACGGGGGGCUGCAGUGGGGAAUAUUGGACAAUGGGCGAAAGCCUGAUCCAGCCAUGCCGCGUGUGUGAAGAAGGCCUUCGGGUUGUAAAGCACUUUCAGUGGGGAAGAAAGCCUUGGGGCUAAUACCCUCGAGGAAGGACAUCACCCACAGAAGAAGCACCGGCUAACUCCGUGCCAGCAGCCGCGGUAAUACGGCGGGUGCGAGCGUUAAUCGGAAUUACUGGGCGUAAAGCGCGCGUAGGCGGUCUGAUAAGCCGGUUGUGAAAGCCCCGGGCUCAACCUGGGAACGGCAUCCGGAACUGUCAGGCUAGAGUGCAGGAGAGGAGGGUAGAAUUCCCGGUGUAGCGGUGAAAUGCGUAGAGAUCGGGAGGAAUACCAGUGGCGAAGGCGGCCUUCUGGCCUGACACUGACGCUGAGGUGCGAAAGCGUGGGUAGCAAACAGGAUUAGAUACCCGAGUAGUC